rnacentral:rRNA from 1 species
GUAGGUGGCAAGCGUUGUCCGGAAUUAUAGGGCGUAAAGCGCGCGCAGGCGGUUCUUUAAGUCUGAUGUGAAAGCCCACGGCUCAACCGUGGAGGGUCAUUGGAAACUGGAGAACUUGAGUACAGAAGAGGAAAGCGGAAUUCCACGUGUAGCGGUGAAAUGCGUAGAGAUGUGGAGGAACACCAGUGGCGAAGGCGGCUUUCUGGUCUGUAACUGACGCUGAGGCGCGAAAGCGUGGGGAGCAAACAGGAUUAGAUACCCUGGUAGUCCACGCCGUAAACGAUGAGUGUUAAGUGUUAGGGGGGUUUCCGGUCCCCCCUUAGUGCUGCAGCUAACGCAUUAAGCACUCCGCCUGGGGAGUACGGCCGCAAGGCUG